UGGGGAAUAUUGCACAAUGGGCGAAAGCCUGAUGCAGCAACGCCGCGUGAGUGAUGAAGGUCUUCGGAUUGUAAAGCUCUGUCUUUUGGGACGAUAAUGACGGUACCAAAGGAGGAAGCCACGGCUAACUACGUGCCAGCAGCCGCGGUAAUACGUAGAUGGCGAGCGUUGUCCGGAUUUACUGGGCGUAAAGGGUGCGUAGGCGGAUGUUUAAGUGAGAUGUGAAAUACCCGGGCUUAACUUGGGUGCUGCAUUUCAAACUGGAUAUCUAGAGUGCAGGAGAGGAGAAUGGAAUUCCUAGUGUAGCGGUGAAAUGCGUAGAGAUUAGGAAGAACACCAGUGGCGAAGGCGAUUCUCUGGACUGUAACUGACGCUGAGGCACGAAAGCGUGGGUAGCAAACAGGAUUAGAUACCCUGGUAGUCCACGCCGUAAACGAUGAGUACUAGGUGUAGGAGGUAUCGACCCCUUCUGUGCCGCAGUAAACACAUUAAGUACUCCGCCUGGAAGUACGAUCGCAAGAUUAAAACUCUAAAGUGAAUUGACGGGGUC
rnacentral:rRNA from 1 species